CCAGGCUCCCGAUUUGCCCGGGAUGCGGCUAGGAGGCCCGCCCACUUCCCAUCACUUAGGGCCUCGCGAGCGCCCGCCCUCGGUUUUGAUUGGUGGGGCAGCGCGCAUUAUCCAGCCCCUUUCCGGGGCGGGGGCGGGGCCGCCUCCCUGUCCCCGCCCUGCGGCUUUCAGGACCGCGAGGCCGCGGCGGUGCUCCCGGGUCAAUCUCAACAUCCAGGCCAUCAGUCCCAGGCUCUCCCCUGCCCCCUUCUUCAGGGAUAACCUCCGGUGCUCUGGAGUCUGUAGCUUCUGA
rnacentral:lncRNA from 1 species